UAAUCCACGCCGUAAACGAUGGACACUAGUUGUUGGGUUUAUACUCAGUGACUAAGCGAAAGUGAUAAGUGUCCCACCUGGGGAGUACGAUCGCAAGAUUGAAACUCAAAGGGAUUGACGGGGGCCCGCACAAGCGGUGGAGCAUGUGGUUUAAUUCGAUGAUACGCGAGGAACCUUACCAGGGCUUAAAUGUAGAGUGACAGGUCUAGAGAUAGAUUUUUCUUCGGACACUUUACAAGGUGCUGCAUGGUUGUCGUCAGCUCGUGCCGUGAGGUGUCAGGUUAAGUCCUAUAACGAGCGCAACCCCUAUCGUUAGUUGCUAACAAGUAAAGUUGAGGACCCUAGCGAGACUGCCGGUGCAAACCGCGAGGAAGGUGGGGAUGACGUCAAAUCAUCACGGCCCUUACGUCCUGGGCUACACAUGUGCUACAAUGGUAUGGACAAUGAGCAGCCACUAUGCGAAUAGGAGCGAAUCUACAAACCAUAUCACAGUUCGGAUCGG
rnacentral:rRNA from 1 species